AACGCACGAGACCUGCGGACCUGCGGAAGGAUCAUUACUGAGUAACGCGGUCUUUUAGACCCGGUACCCGCCCUAUGUCAUAUGUUGGACGAGGUCGUCUUUAGGGGCGGCCUCCGACCCCACUUCCCGGGAAGCGUUGCGCCUCAUCAGGUCUAGGCCUUGACGAGGAUGGGACCGCCCGGGGUCUUUUUCAAACCCUUUGUAAGAAAUCUGAAGUCUGAAGCGAAAGCUUAAAAUAAA
rnacentral:misc_RNA from 1 species